AUGUUAGACCCCAUUAUCCCUAAAUUUGAUGUUAACUAUUUAGCGGGACAGUUCCUUGACCAGACCAAUUGUGGAUCAUAUGAACCGGUGUUUUCUCCGUUGCAAAGCACAUGCGUCGUGCUAGGGAGCAUGGGUGUGGUGAUGGUGCAUGCACCAAGUGUAGUUGAGAAAAUAACUCACCAUCAUUACAAGUCCGCAAAAUUACAAGUCGGCACAGGAAGGGGCUCUCGAAGCAGCAUGCUCGAGUAUGAUGAUCAAGCUCUUCACCUUGGGAUUGAUCAUGUUCGUUAUGAAUAUGCGCACAACAAGACCACCAUCAACAAUGAUGGCGAAGGGAAGAAGUGGUAA
rnacentral:rRNA from 1 species